rnacentral:tRNA from 3 species
GCCACCUUAGCUCAGAUGGUAGAGCAAUUGAUUCGUAAUCAAUAGGUCGCCGGUUCGAUUCCGGCAGGUGGCUCCA